GUACCCUUUUAAGGCUGACCCAUGUCUUAACAUGCUAACACAGAAUGGUAAAUGAAAUCUCCACAAAACCCAGAGAUGAGACAGUAAAUCUCCUCUUUGGAUCCUCUCUGGAGUUACAACU
ensembl:snoRNA